GAUGAACGCUGGCGGCGUGCUUAACACAUGCAAGUCGAACGGAAAGGCCCAAGCUUGCUUGGGUACUCGAGUGGCGAGCGGGUGAGUAACACGUGGGUGAUCUGCCCUGCACUUCGGGAUAAGCCUGGGAAACUGGGUCUAAUACCGGAUAGGACCACAUUUUGGAUGGUGUGGUGGAAAGUUUUUCGGUGUGGGAUGAGCUCGCGGCCUAUCAGCUUGUUGGUGGGGUAAUGGCCUACCAAGGCGUCGACGGGUAGCCGGCCUGAGAGGGUGUACGGCCACAUUGGGACUGAGAUACGGCCCAGACUCCUACGGGAGGCAGCAGUGGGGAAUAUUGCACAAUGGGCGCAAGCCUGAUGCAGCGACGCCGCGUGGGGAGGACGGCCUUCGGGUUGUAAACGCCUUUCGCUAGGGACGAAGCGUUAUGUGACGGUACCUGGAGAAGAAGCACCGGCUAACUACGUG
rnacentral:rRNA from 1 species